rnacentral:rRNA from 1 species
AGCAGCCGCGGUAAUUCCAGCUCCAAUAGCGUAUAUUAAAGUUGUUGCAGUUAAAAAGCUCGUAGUUGAAUUUCGGGGUUAGUAGGUUGGUCAUGCCACUGGUAUGUACUGAUCUUACUGAUUCCUCCUUCCUGAUGAACCGUAAUGCCAUUAAUUUGGUGUUGCGGGGAGACUGGACUGUUACUUUGAAAAAAUUAGAGUGUUUAAAGCAGGCUAACGCUUGAAUACAUUAGCAUGGAAUAAUGAAAUAGGACGUUCGAUCCUAUUUUGUUGGUUUCUAGGAUUGACGUAAUGAUUAAUAGGGAUAGUUGGGGGCAUUAGUAUUCAAUUGUCAGAGGUGAAAUUCUUGGAUUUAUUGAAGACUAACUACUGCGAAAGCAUUUGCCAAGGAUGUUUUCAUUAAUCAAGAACGAAAGUUAGGGGAUCGAAGACGAUCAGAUACCGUCGUAGUCUUAACCAUAAACUAUGCCGACUAGGGAUCGGAUGAUGUUAAUUUUUUAAUGUACUCAUUCGGCGCCUU